CUUGGUUAUCACUAUUUCAAAAUGAAUUGUUAAAGAUCCAAGCACGUAUUCGCGUGUUGUGGUGAGACGAAAAAAGUCCAGCCAGAACAAAACGCAAAACGAAUUGCUUGACGAUCAUAGAGGCGUUGAACCACCUGAUCCCAUCCCGAACUCAGAAGUGAAAAGCGCCAUCGCCGAUGGUAGUGUGGGAGAUCCCAUGUGAGAGUAGGUCGUCGUCAAGC
rnacentral:rRNA from 1 species